CCUGCCCUGAGUCUGCUGGGGAGUGGGCAUUCUCUGCCAGGGACCCAUGAGCAGGCUGCAUGGUCUAGAGGUUGUGGGCAGCAUGGACAGUCCCCCACUCAGAAGUGCAAGAGUUCCAAAGAGCCUCUGGCCCAGGCGCCUCCGUGGGACAGCCCCGCCGCCCCUCCCCACCAGGGCUUUGCAGAUGUCCUUGAAAGACCCACCCUAGAGCCCUUUGGAGUGCUGGCCCCUCCUGUGUCCUCUGCCCUGGUGGAAGUGGCAGCCACAAGUCCUCC
rnacentral:lncRNA from 1 species